UAGUGUAUGGAUCUCUCUGACAUUGUACCACAAGGUUCCAUAUCACAAAGGGAAUGCUGGGAUUGAUUUUGGGGGUAAUUGCCUCAAAAUUUUAGGAAUUAGGGGCCAAAAAAGGGGCAAAAAACAAGCAUUUUUCUAGUUUCUUGAUAAUAACUUGUGUGUAAGUGUAUGGAUUUUUCUGAAAUUGAACUACAAGGUUCCAUAUCACAAAGGGAAAGCUGGAAUUGAGUUUGGGGGUAAUUGCCUCAAAAUUUUAGGAAUAAGGGGCCAAAAAUAGCAUUUUUCUAGUUUCCAGACAAUUACUUGUGUUCAAGUGUAUGGAUCUCUCUGAAAUUGUACUGCAAGGUACCAUACCACAAAGGGAAGGCUGGGAUUGAUUUUGGGGUAAUUGCCUCAAAAUUUUAGGAAUUAGGGGCCAAAAAGGGGAAAAAACAAGCAUUUUUCUAGUUUCAGGACAAUAACUUGUGUUCAAGUGUAUGGAUCUCUCUGAAAUUGUACUGCAAGGAACCAUACCACAAAGGGAAGGCUGGGAUUGAUUUUGGGGGUAAUUGCCUCAAAAUUUUAGGAAUUAGGGGCCAAAAAAGGGAAAAAACAAGCAUUUUUCUAGUUUCAGGACAAUAACUUGUGUUCAAGUGUAUGGAUCUCUCUGAAACUGUACUGCAAGAUACCAUACCACAAAGGGAAGGCUGGGAUUGAUGAUGGGGGUAAUUGCCUCAAUAUUUUAGGAAUUAGGGGCCAAAAAGGGGCAAAAAACAAGCAUUUUUCUAGUUUCAGGACAAUAACUUGUGUGUUAGUGUAUGGAUCUUUCUGAUAUUGUACUACAAGGUUCCAUAUCACAAAGGGAAAGCUGGGUUUGAGUUUGGGGGUAAUUGCCCUAAUUGUUUAGGCAUUUGGGGCCAAAAAGGGGCCAAAAAACACAUUUUUCUAGUUUCCAGACAAUAACUUGUGUUCAAGUGUAUGGAUCUCUCUGAAAUUGUACUGCAAGGUACCAUACCACAAAGGGAAGGCUGGGAUUGAGUUUGGGGGUGAUGAAUCAUAAGGGGGUUCAAAAAAUUGGGGGGGGGGGAUUUUUUUUUUUUUUCCUUUUUUUUCUUUUUUUCCUUUUUUUUUUCUUUUAAAAUUUUCCAUUUUAAGUUGGUUAUUUCUGAUUUAUAUUUAAAAGCAAAUAAUAAUGAUAUGGUAGGAGAUACACACCAAACAGGAUGUGUAAAUUAUUAUAUAAUAAGUAUUGUGCAAUAGCAAGAAAUUUUCAAUUGCACAGUAUUGCAAUAUAGCAAGAAAUCUUCAAUUGCACAGUAUUGCGCAAUAGCAAGAAAUCUUCAAUUGCACAGUAUAGCCCAAUAGCAAGAAAUAUCCAAUAGCACAAUAUUGCGCAAUAGCAAGAAAUUGUCAAUUGUACAGUAUUGCGCAAUAGCAAGAAAUAUUUAAUUGCACAGUAUUGUGCAAAAGAAGAUACUUCGUAUAAAUUGCUUAUUUCUUGACCAAUUUCAAUGGGGUUUUAUUCUUGAAUUCUUGGGGUUCUUUAAUAUACUGAAUCUAACCGUGUAUUUAGUUUUUGGAUUUUGGGCCCCGUUUUUAAAUUGGUCCACAUUGAGGUCCAAAGGGUCCAAAAUUAAACUUUGUUUGAUUUCAUCAAAAAUUGAAUUAUUGGGGUUCUUUGAUAUGCCGAAUCUAACCGUGUAUUUAGAUUCUUAAUUUUUGGUUCCGUUUUCAAAUUGGUCUACAUUAAGGUCCAAAGGGUCCAAAAUUAAACUUAGUUUGAUUUUAACAGAAAUUGAAUUCUUAGGGUUCUUUGAUAUGCUGAAUCUAAACAUGUAUUUAGAUUUUUGAUUAUGGGCCCAGUUUUCAAGUUGGUCUAAAUCGGGGUCCAAAAUUAAACUUUGUUUGAUUUCAACAAAAAUUGAAUAUAUGGGGUUCUUUGAUAUGCUGAAUCUAACCAUGUAUUUAGAUUUUUGAUUUUUGGGCCCCGUUAUCAACUUUGUCCACAUUGAGGUCAAAAGGGUCCAAAAUUAAACUUUGUUUGAUUUCAUCAAAAAUUGAAUUCUUGGGGUUCUUUGAUAUGCUGAAUCUAACCAUGUAUUUAGAUUUUGGAUAUUGGACCAUAAUAGGUGAAUGUCCAAUUUAAAAUUUUUAAGUUCUUAGACCACAUUCAUUCUGUGUCAGAAACCUAUGCUGUGUCAAAUAUUUAAUCACAAUCCAAAUGCAAAUCUGUAUCAAGCUUGAAUGUUGUGUCCAUACUUGCCCCAACUGUUCAGGGUUCGACCUCUGCGGUCGUAUCAAGCUGAGCCCUGCGGAGCAUUUUAUUCAUAUA